rnacentral:ncRNA from 1 species
UUUAAUUCGAUACAACACGCAAAACCUUACCAGCCCUUUACAUAUGAACAUGUCCUUAAUAGGAUGGUACUGACUUUCAUAAAGGUGUUGCAUGGCUGUCGUCAGCUCGUGUCGUGAGAUGUUUGGUCAAGUCCUAUAAUGAGCGAAACCCUUGUUUUGUGUUGCUGAGACAUGUGCCUAAGGAGAAAUUGCCACCGAGUGACGUGCCAGCGCUACUACUUGAUUGAGUGCCAUCACAUAGUUGUGCUUUCGGCAA